rnacentral:rRNA from 1 species
GAUGAACGCUGGCGGCGUGCCUAACACAUGCAAGUCGAGCGAUCUUCUUUGGAAGAGAGCGGCGGACGGGUGAGUAACGCGUGGGUAACCUGCCCUGUACACACGGAUAACAUACCGAAAGGUAUGCUAAUACGGGAUAAUAUGCUUUUAUCGCAUGGUAGAAGUAUCAAAGCUCCAGGCGGUACAGGAUGGACCCGCGUCUGAUUAGCUAGUUGGUAAGGUAACGGCUUACCAAGGCGACGAUCAGUAGCCGACCUGAGAGGGGGAUCCGCCACAUGGGAGCUGAGACACGGUCCAAACUCCUACGUGAGGCAGCAGUGGGGAAUAUUGCACAAUGGGCGAAAGCCUGAUGCAGCAACGCCGCGUGAGCGAUGAAGGCCUUCGGGUCGUAAAGCUCUGUCCUCAAGGAAGAUAAUGACGGUACUUGAGGAGGAAGCCCCGGCUAACUACGUGCCAGCCGCCGCCGUAAGAC